rnacentral:rRNA from 1 species
GGCGGCAGGCCUAAAACAUGCAAGUCGAACGGACCCUUCGGGGUUAGUGGCGGACGGGUGAGUAACACGUGGGAACGUGCCUUUUGGUUCAGAACAACUCAGGGAAACUUGAGCUAAUACUGAAUAAGCCCUACGGGGGAAAGAUUUAUCGCCAUUAGAGCGGCCCGCGUUGGAUUAGCUAGUUGGUGAGGUAAAGGCUCACCAAGGCUACGAUCCAUAGCUGGUCUGAGAGGAUGAUCAGCCACACUGGGACUGAGACACGGCCCAGACUCCUACGGGAGGCAGCAGUUAGGAAUCUUGCGCAAUGGGCGAAAGCCUGACGCAGCCAUGCCGCGUGAAUGAUGAAGGUCUUAGGAUUGUAAAAUUCUUUCAGUGGGGAAGAUAAUGACUGUACCCACAGAAGAAGCUCCGGCUAACUUCGUGCCAGCAGCCGCGGUAAUACGAAGGGGGCUAGCGUUGCUCGGAAUUACUGGGCGUAAAGGGCGCGUANGCGGACAGUUUAGUCGGGGGUGAAAUCCCGGGGCUCAACCCCGGAACUGCCUUCGAUACUGGCUGUCUUGA